UACGUAGGGUGCAAGCGUUAAUCGGAAUUACUGGGCGUAAAGCGUGCGCAGGCGGUUAUGUAAGACAGAUGUGAAAUCCCCGGGCUCAACCUGGGAACUGCAUUUGUGACUGCAUAGCUAGAGUACGGGUAGAGGGGGAUGGAAUUCCGCGUGUAGCAGUGAAAUGCGUAGAUAUGCGGAGGAACACCGAUGGCGAAGGCAAUCCCCUGGACCUGUACUGACGCUCAUG
rnacentral:rRNA from 1 species